rnacentral:rRNA from 1 species
ACGCACGCUGGCGGCAUGCCUCACCCAUGCAAGUCGAACGAUUGCCUUCGGGUGAUAGUGGCGCACGGGUGCGUAACGCGUGGGAAUCUGCCCUUAGGUUCGGAAUAACAGCUGGAAACGGCUGCUAAUACCGGAUGAUAUCGUGAGAUCAAAGAUUUAUCGCCUGAGGAUGAGCCCGCGUUGGAUUAGGUAGUUGGUGGGGUAAAGGCCUACCAAGCCGACGAUCCAUAGCUGGUCUGAGAGGAUGAUCAGCCACACUGGGACUGAGACACGGUCCAGACUCCUACGGGAGGCAGCAGUGGGGAAUAUUGGACAAUGGGCGCAAGCCUGAUCCAGCAAUGCCGCGUGAGUGAUGAAGGCCCUAGGGUUGUAAAGCUCUUUUACCCGGGAAGAUAAUGACUGUACCGGGAGAAUAAGCCCCGGCUAACUCCGUG